rnacentral:tRNA from 1 species
AAGGAUUUAAGUUAAAUUAAACUAUUAACCUUCAAAGUUAAAAAUGGGUAAUACCACCUAAGCCUUG